AUUGCCCUAGUAACGGCGAGUGAAGCGGCAAUAGCUCAAAUUUGAAAUCUGGCUUCCUUGGAAGUCCGAGUUGUAAUUUGCAGAGGGCGCUUUGGCGUCGGUAGCGGUCUAAGUUCCUUGGAACAGGACGUCACAGAGGGUGAGAAUCCCGUACGUGGUCGACUACCUUCACCGUGUAAAGCCCCUUCGACGAGUCGAGUUGUUUGGGAAUGCAGCUCUAAAUGGGAGGUAAAUUUCUUCUAAAGCUAAAUACUGGCCAGAGACCGAUAGCGCACAAGUAGAGUGAUCGAAAGAUGAAAAGCACUUUGGAAAGAGAGUCAAACAGCACGUGAAAUUGUUGAAAGGGAAGCGCUUGCCGCCAGACGUGCCCGUGGUGGUUCUCCUCCGCGGGCAGGCCAGCAUCAGUUUGGGCGAUCGGAUAAAGGCCUCUGUCAUGUAUCUCCCUUCGGGGUGACCUUAUAGGGGAGGCGUAAUGCGAUCAGCCCGGACUGAGGUCCGCGCAUCUGCUAGGAUGCUGGCGUAAUGGCUGUAAGCGGCCCGUCUUGAAACACGGACCAAGGAGUCUAACAUCUAUGCGAGUGUUUGGGUGUCAAGCCCGAGCGCGUAAUGAAAGUGAACGGAGGUGGGAACCCUUUGGGUGCACCAUCGACCGAUCCUGAAGUCUUCGGAUGGAUUUGAGUAAGAGCAUGGCUGUUGGGACCCGAAAGAUGGUGAACUAUGCUUGAAUAGGGUGAAGCCAGAGGAAACUCUGGUGGAGGCUCGCAGCGGUUCUGACGUGCAAAUCGAUCGUCAAAUUUGGGCAUAGGGGCGAAAGACUAAUCGAACUAUCUAGUAGCUGGUUCCUG
rnacentral:rRNA from 1 species